rnacentral:rRNA from 1 species
GAGUUUGAUCCUGGCUCAGAUUGAACGCUGGCGGCAGGCCUAACACAUGCAAGUCGAGCGGAAACGAGUUAACUGAACCUUCGGGGAACGUUAACGGCGUCGAGCGGCGGACGGGUGAGUAAUGCCUGGGAAAUUGCCCUGAUGUGGGGGAUAACCAUUGGAAACGAUGGCUAAUACCGCAUAAUAGCUUCGGCUCAAAGAGGGGGACCUUCGGGCCUCUCGCGUCAGGAUAUGCCCAGGUGGGAUUAGCUAGUUGGUGAGGUAAUGGCUCACCAAGGCGACGAUCCCUAGCUGGUCUGAGAGGAUGAUCAGCCACACUGGAACUGAGACACGGUCCAGACUCCUACGGGAGGCAGCAGUGGGGAAUAUUGCACAAUGGGCGCAAGCCUGAUGCAGCCAUGCCGCGUGUAUGAAGAAGGCCUUCGGGUUGUA